GAAACGACUGCUAAGACUGGAUAGGAAGAUAAAAGGCAUCUUUUAUCUUUUUAAAGACCUAGUAAUAGGUAUGCUUUAGGAGGGGCUUGCGCCAUAUUAGUUAGUUGGUAGGGUAAUGGCCUACCAAGACGAUGAUGUGUAGCUGGACUGAGAGGUUGAACAGCCACAUUGGGACUGAGACACGGCCCAAACUCCUACGGGAGGCAGCAGUAGGGAAUUUUCGGCAAUGGAGGAAACUCUGACCGAGCAACGCCGCGUGAAUGACGAAGUACUUCGGUAUGUAAAGUUCUUUUAUCAAGGAAGAAAAGCAAAUGGCGAACCAUUUGUUUGCCGGUACUUGAUGAAUAAGCCCCGGCUAAUUAUGUGCCAGCAGCCGCGGUAAGACAUAAGGGGCAAGUGUUAUCCGGAAUUAUUGGGCGUAAAGGGUGCGUAGGCGGUCUAGUAAGUCAGUGGUGUAAUGGCAACGCUUAACGUUGUCCGGCUAUUGAAACUGCUAAACUUGAGUUAGAUAGAGGCGAGUGGAAUUCCAUGUGUAGCGGUAAAAUGCGUAAAUAUAUGGAGGAACACCAGAGGCGUAGGCGGCUCGCUGGGUCUUAACUGACGCUGAGGCACGAAAGCGUGGGGAGCAAACAGGAUUAGAUACCCUGGUAGUCCACGCCGUAAACGAUGAGUACUAAGUGUCGGGUUAAACCGGUACUGAAGUUAACACAUUAAGUACUCCGCCUGAGUAGUACGUACGCAAGUAUGAAACUUAAAGGAAUUGACGGGACUCCGCACAAGCGGUGGAUCAUGUUGUUUAAUUCGAAGAUACCCGAAAAACCUUACCAGGUCUUGACAUGUUUUUGCAAAAUGAUAGUAAUAUCGUGGAGGUUACCAGAAACACAGGUGGUGCAUGGUUGUCGUCAGCUCGUGUCGUGAGAUGUUAGGUUAAGUCCUAAAACGAGCGAAACCCUUAUCGUUAGUUGCCAGCACGUUAUGGUGGGGACUUUAACGAGACUGCCAAUGAUAAAUUGGAGGAAGGUGAGGAUCACGUCAAAUCAGCAUGCCCCUUAUGACCUGGGCUACAAACGUGAUACAAUGGCUGUUACAAAGGGUAGCUGAAACGCAAGUUCUUGGCCAAUCCCCAAAAACAGUCCCAGUCCGGAUUGAAGUCUGCAACUCGACUUCAUGAAGUUGGAAUCGCUAGUAAUCGCGAAUCAGCAUGUCGCGGUGAAUACGUUCUCGGGGUUUGUACACACCGCCC
rnacentral:rRNA from 1 species